GCUUCGGUGGCGCAACGGCUUAGGACAUGCUCCCGGAAAGAGUAAGAUCAGGGUUCAAAUCCCGGCUGACGCG